rnacentral:rRNA from 1 species
UGGGGAAUAUUGGACAAUGGGCGAAAGCCUGAUCCAGCAAUGCCGCGUGAGUGAUGAAGGCCUUAGGGUCGUAAAGCUCUUUUACCAGGGAUGAUAAUGACAGUACCUGGAGAAUAAGCUCCGGCUAACUCCGUGCCAGCAGCCGCGGUAAUACGGAGGGAGCUAGCGUUGUUCGGAAUUACUGGGCGUAAAGCGCGCGUAGGCGGUUACCCAAGUCAGAGGUGAAAUCCCGGAGCUCAACUCCGGAACUGCCUUUGAAACUAUGUAACUAGAAUCUUGGAGAGGUCAGUGGAAUUCCGAGUGUAGAGGUGAAAUUCGUAGAUAUUCGGAAGAACACCAGUGGCGAAGGCGACUGACUGGACAAGUAUUGACGCUGAGGUGCGAAAGCGUGGGGAGCAAACAGG